rfam:Ruminococcus sp. CAG:108 genomic scaffold, scf166
AUAAUGAUACUUCUCUACGGAGCUGGCGGAGAACCCGGCAGAGGUGAGAUUCCUAUGA